UACGAAGGGGGCUAGCGUUGCUCGGAAUCACUGGGCGUAAAGGGUGCGUAGGCGGGUUCUUAAGUCAGAGGUGAAAUCCUGGAGCUCAACUCCAGAACUGCCUUUGAUACUGAGAGUCUUGAGUUCGGGAGAGGUGAGUGGAACUGCGAGUGUAGAGGUGAAAUUCGUAGAUAUUGGGAAGAACACCGGUGGCGAAGGCGGCGCUCUGGACCGAGACUGACGCUGAGGCGCGAAAGCGUGGGGAGCAAACAGG
rnacentral:rRNA from 1 species